CAGUCGCCGCGGUAAUGCGAAGGGUGCAAGCGUUAAUCGGAAUUACCGGGCGUAAAGCGUGCGUAGGCGGUGAGUUAAGUCUGCUGUGAAAUCCCCGGGCUCAACCUGGGAAUGGCAGUGGAUACUGGCUCGCUAGAGUGUGUCAGAGGAUGGUGGAAUUCCCGGUGUAGCGGUGAAAUGCGUAGAGAUCGGGAGGAACAUCAGUGGCGAAGGCGGCCAUCCGGGACAACACUGACGCUGAGGCACGAAAGCGUGGGGAGCAAACAGGAUUAGAUACCCCAGUAGUCCCUGUCUCUUAUAC
rnacentral:rRNA from 1 species